rnacentral:rRNA from 1 species
GGUACCGGUGGAUCACGUGGCUAGUGGUGUGAAUAAGGCCGUAGUACAGGAUGAUACUACGGUUGGCAAGCGAGUGUAACCGUCUUGGGUUGGUGACCAUCUGACCGGCCCAAACGGUUUACCAACUGCUUGUUGUUGAACACACAUUACGCCCCCGUCGC